UACGUAGGGGGCAAGCGUUGUCCGGAAUCAUUGGGCGUAAAGCGCGUGUAGGCGGUUCGGUAAGUCGGCUGUGAAAGUCCAGGGCUCAACCCUGGGAUGCCGGUCGAUACUGCCGGACUAGAGUUCGGAAGAGGUGAGUGGAAUUCCCGGUGUAGCGGUGAAAUGCGCAGAUAUCGGGAGGAACACCAAUGGCGAAGGCAGCUCGCUGGGACGUUACUGACGCUGAGACGCGAAAGCGUGGGGAGCAAACAGG
rnacentral:rRNA from 1 species